CCGGCAUGAAAGUGACCUCUGUGAGUCGACUGAACGCAACAAACCCAAACAGUCCUCUGAAGUAGUAAAAGCCCGAACAGUCCGCUGUGCGUAGCAGCCGUGUGGACGCUAGUGUGAGUGUACAGAGUUCAAUGGUAGAGUGAGUGUGCAGG